ACCUACGGGGGGCAGCAGUGGGGAAUAUUGCACAAUGGGGGAAACCCUGAUGCAGCGACGCCGCGUGAGUGAAGAAGUAUUUCGGUACGUAAAGCUCUAUCAGCAGGGAAGAAAGAAAGUCCUUUGGACUUUGGACGGUACCUGACCAAGAAGCCCCGGCUAACUACGUGCCAGCAGCCGCGGUACUACGUAGGGGGCAAGCGUUAUCCGGAUUUACUGGGUGUAAAGGGAGCGUAGACGGCAAUGCAAGCCAGAUGUGAAAACCCGCAGCUCAACUGGGGGAGUGCGUUUGGAACUGUGUAGCG
rnacentral:rRNA from 1 species